GGUUAAGUGACUAAGCGUACACGGUGGAUGCCUUGGCAGUCAGAGGCGAUGAAGGACGUAUUAACUUGCGAUAAGCCCAGAUUAGGCAGUAAAAGCCACUUGAGUCUGGGAUUUCCGAAUGGGGAAACCCACGUGCAUAAGCACGUAUCUUGUACUGAAUACAUAGGUGCAAGAGGCGAACCGGGGGAACUGAAACAUCUAAGUACCCCGAGGAAAAGAAAUCAACCGAGAUUCCGAAAGUAGCGGCGAGCGAAAUUGGACUAGCCCUUAAGCUUUAUAUGCGUUAGACGAACGGUCUGGAAAGUCCGGCGAUACAGGGUGAUAGCCCCGUAGUUGACAACGCACAUUCAGUGAAAUCGAGUAGGGCGGGACACGUGAUAUCCUGUCUGAAUAUGGGGGGACCAUCCUCCAAGGCUAAAUACUACUGACUGACCGAUAGUGAACCAGUACCGUGAGGGAAAGGCGAAAAGAACCCCUGUGAGGGGAGUGAAAUAGAACCUGAAACCGUGUACGUACAAGCAGUAGGAGCAGGCUUUGUCCUGUGACUGCGUACCUUUUGUAUAAUGGGUCAGCGACUUAUAUUCAGUGGCAAGGUUAACCAUCUAGGGGAGCCGUAGGGAAACCGAGUCUUAACUGGGCGCUCAGUCUCUGGAUAUAGACCCGAAACCAGGUGAUCUAGCCAUGGGCAGGUUGAAGGUUGAGUAACAUCAACUGGAGGACCGAACCGACUAAUGUUGAAAAAUUAGCGGAUGACUUGUGGCUAGGGGUGAAAGGCCAAUCAAACCUGGAGAUAGCUGGUUCUCCCCGAAAGCUAUUUAGGUAGCGCCUCGGACGAAUACUACUGGGGGUAGAGCACUGUUAAGGCUAGGGGGUCAUCCCGACUUACCAACCCUUUGCAAACUCCGAAUACCAGUAAGUACUAUCCGGGAGACACACGGCGGGUGCUAACGUCCGUCGUGGAGAGGGAAACAACCCAGACCGCCAGCUAAGGUCCCAAAUUAUAGCUAAGUGGGAAACGAUGUGGGAAGGCUUAGACAGCUAGGAUGUUGGCUUAGAAGCAGCCAUCAUUUAAAGAAAGCGUAAUAGCUCACUAGUCGAGUCGGCCUGCGCGGAAGAUGUAACGGGGCUAAGCUAUAAACCGAAGCUGCGGCAAUGCAGUUUACUGCAUUGGGUAGGGGAGCGUUCUGUAAGCCGUUGAAGGUGAGUUGUAAAGCUUGCUGGAGGUAUCAGAAGUGCGAAUGCUGACAUGAGUAACGAUAAAGGGGGUGAAAAACCCCCUCGCCGGAAGACCAAGGGUUCCUGUCCAACGUUAAUCGGGGCAGGGUAAGUCGACCCCUAAGGCGAGGCUGAAAAGCGUAGUCGAUGGGAAACGGGUUAAUAUUCCCGUACUUCUUACAAUUGCGAUGGGGGGACGGAGAAGGCUAGGUGGGCCUGGCGACGGUUGUCCAGGUUCAAGUGCGUAGGCUUAAGAGUUAGGUAAAUCCGGCUCUUUCUAAGGCUGAGACACGACGUCGAGCACCUACGGGUGUGAAGUCAUUGAUGCCAUGCUUCCAGGAAAAGCCUCUAAGCUUCAGAUUGUAAGGAAUCGUACCCCAAACCGACACAGGUGGUCGGGUAGAGAAUACCAAGGCGCUUGAGAGAACUCGGGUGAAGGAACUAGGCAAAAUGGUACCGUAACUUCGGGAGAAGGUACGCUCUUGACGGUGAAGUCCCUUGCGGAUGGAGCUAUUGAGAGUCGCAGAUACCAGGUGGCUGCAACUGUUUAUUAAAAACACAGCACUGUGCAAAAUCGUAAGAUGACGUAUACGGUGUGACGCCUGCCCGGUGCCGGAAGGUUAAUUGAUGGGGUUAGACUUCGGUCGAAGCUCUUGAUCGAAGCCCCGGUAAACGGCGGCCGUAACUAUAACGGUCCUAAGGUAGCGAAAUUCCUUGUCGGGUAAGUUCCGACCUGCACGAAUGGCGUAAUGAUGGCCACGCUGUCUCCACCCGAGACUCAGUGAAAUUGAAAUCGCUGUGAAGAUGCAGUGUACCCGCGGCUAGACGGAAAGACCCCGUGAACCUUUACUACAGCUUGGCACUGAACAUUGAGCCUACAUGUGUAGGAUAGGUGGGAGGCUUUGAAACCGGUACGCCAGUAUCGGUGGAGCCGACCUUGAAAUACCACCCUUGUAUGUUUGAUGUUCUAACUUAGCCCCGUCAUCCGGGGUGAGGACAGUGCCUGGUGGGUAGUUUGACUGGGGCGGUCUCCUCCCAAAGAGUAACGGAGGAGCACGAAGGUGGGCUAAUCACGGUUGGACAUCGUGAGGUUAGUGCAAUGGCAUAAGCCCGCUUGACUGCGAGAAUGACAAUUCGAGCAGGUGCGAAAGCAGGUCAUAGUGAUCCGGUGGUUCUGAAUGGAAGGGCCAUCGCUCAACGGAUAAAAGGUACUCCGGGGAUAACAGGCUGAUACCGCCCAAGAGUUCAUAUCGACGGCGGUGUUUGGCACCUCGAUGUCGGCUCAUCACAUCCUGGGGCUGAAGUCGGUCCCAAGGGUAUGGCUGUUCGCCAUUUAAAGUGGUACGCGAGCUGGGUUUAGAACGUCGUGAGACAGUUCGGUCCCUAUCUGCCGUGGGCGUUGGAAGAUUGAAGGGGGCUGCUCCUAGUACGAGAGGACCGGAGUGGACGAACCUCUGGUGUUCGGGUUGUGUCGCCAGACGCAUUGCCCGGUAGCUAAGUUCGGAAUCGAUAACCGCUGAAAGCAUCUAAGCGGGAAGCGAGCCCUGAGAUGAGUCUUCCCUGACUCCUUGAGAGUCCUGAAGGGUUGUUCGAGACUAGAACGUUGAUAGGCAGGGUGUGUAAGCGUUGUGAGGCGUUGAGCUAACCUGUACUAAUUGCCCGUGAGGCUUAACCAU
rnacentral:rRNA from 1 species